UCAUUAUAAGUGGGACGGAAGGAGUAUAAAAUAAUGUAUUCAAAUAAAAAAUAUAUAUAUCAAUAUUCGAACCGGAAUUGGGAUCCAUCCAAAGCUGAGCAUCUCUGCGUUCAUUGAGGAACAUAACAUGGUCGCCACCCCAAACGACGUCGUAAAUAUCAUCGAACGGUACAUCGCGGAAUGCGGCAUCCACCGUUGAUCCGAACACGUAGAGAAGUGCAAGAAAAGUGAACUUACAAUAACCCAUCUUUGUGAAAAUGCAUGAGAAAGAGAAACCCUAAUUCUAUAUCAAAUUUCAUGCAUGUGAGUGUUAUAUAUAGAGAGAGAGAUGAAG
rnacentral:lncRNA from 1 species